ensembl:lncRNA EIF1B-AS1 EIF1B antisense RNA 1
ACUUACCUCAAUGACAUGACCAGUGUCUGAGCCUACAACUGCGCUAUCUUCCCUGGAUUUUUCUUCACCUUUUCCUUACUCAUGAGCCAGAUGGAGCUAAGAUUGGAACUGAGGUCUGGCUAUAAAGCUGCCUUUAUGUCCAUCGCAUCCUAAGGGCUGCUGUUGCUCUUCUGCCUCUACACUGAUGGACUACGUCAGAACAUCAAUAUGCUGUAUUGAUGAUAAUGGAUGAUAUUUUCUUAGUUGUGCCAAUAUUACUCUUGAGGGAAGAAAUGAUGCCAAGCACUUAAAAAAUAUUGUGCCACUUCCUUCUGGCCUCCAUGGUUUGAGAUGGAGAACUCUGCUGUCACCCUCAUUGAUCUUUCCCUUCACACCAAUGCCAAUUCCAGACUAACAUCCUGAAGCUCCAGUUUUGAGGGGUGCAAGCUGCAAGACUGAUAUCAACAUCCACCAAAUACCACUGAUGAGUGGCAAGUAUUAAAAAAACACAGAAAAUCCCACAGCAUGUUGUGGGUUGAAUUAUGCUUCUUCCCUCCCCAGAAGAGGGCUUUCAGAACUAAGGCUGCACACCUAUGACCAUCUGAUCUUCAACAAAGCUGACAAAAACAAGCAACGGGGAAAGGACUUCCUAAUCAAUAAAUGGUGCUGGGAUAACUGGCUAGCCAUGUGCAGAAGAUUGAAGCUGAACCCCUUCCUUGCGCUAUAUAUGAAAAUCAGCUCAAGAUAGAUUAAAGAGUUAAAUGUGAAAUCCAAAACUAUAAAAACCCUGGAAGACAACCUAGGCAAUACCAUCCUGGACACAGGAACAGGCAAACAUUUCAUGACAAAUACACCAAAAGAAAUUGCAACAAAAGCAAAAAUUGACAAAUGGGAUCUAAUUCAACUUAAGAGCUUCUGCACAGCAAAAGAAACUAUCAGAGUAAAGAGUCAAUCUACAGAAUGGGAGAAAAUUUUUACAAACUACGCAUCAGAAAAAAGUCUAAUAUCCAGCAUCUAUAAGGAAUUAAACAAAUUUACAAGAGAAAAAUAAAUAUCCCCAUUACAAAGUGGGCAAAGUUCAUGAACAGACACUUCUCAAAAGAAGACAUACAUGUGGUCAACAAGCAUCUGAAAAAAUCCAAUAUCACUGAUCAUUAGAGAAAUGCAAAUCAAAACCACAAUGAGAUACCAUCUGACACCAGUCAGAAUGGCUAUUAUAAAAAGUUAAACAAACAAACAAAAAACAACCCAACAGAUGCUUGUGAGGUUGCAGAGAAAUGGGAACACUUAUACACUGUUGGUGGGAGUGUAAAUUAGUUCAGUCAUCGUGGAAAGCAGUAUGGCAAUUCCUCAAAGAACUAAAAACAGAACUACCAUUCAACCCAGCAAUCCCAUUACUGGGUACAUACCCAAAGGAGUAUAAAUCAUUCUACCAUAAAGACACAUACACAUGUAUGUUCACUGCAGCACUAUUCACAAUAGCAAAGACAUGCAAUCAACUUAAAUGCCCAUCAAUGACAGACUGGAUAAGGAAAAUGUGGCACAUAUACACCAUGGAAUAUGAUGCAGCCGUAAAAAAGAACAAGACCAUGUCUUUUAUGGGAACAUGAGUGGAGAUGGAGGCUAUUAGCCUUAGCAAACUAACAAAGGAACAGAAAACCAAAUACCACAUGUUCUCACUUAUAGGUGGAAGCUAAAUGAUGAGAACUCAUGAACACGAGGAAGGGAAAAACAGACACUGGGGUCUACUGGAGGGUGGAGGGUAGGAGAAGGGAGAGGAGCAGAAAGAUAACUAUUGGGUACUGGGCUUAAUAACUGGGUAAUGAAAUAAUCUGUACAACAAACCCCUGUGACAGAAGUUUACCUGUAUAACAAACCUUCACAUGUAC